GGUAACACGGAAUGGCAUACGGAGUAGCGGACGGGUGAGUACAACAUGAGAAGCUGUCCUUCAGUGGGGGACAACGUCUGGAAGCGGACGCUAAUACCCCAUAGGCCGAGAGGUUAAAGCAGAGAUGCGCUGGAGGAGGUGCUCGUGCCCUAUCAGCUAGUUGGUGAGGUAACGGCUCACCAAGGCGACGACGGGUAGCCGGCCUGAGAGGGUGAACGGCCACACUGGAACUGAGAUACGGUCCAGACUCC
rnacentral:rRNA from 1 species